AACGAACGCUGGCGGCAGGCUUAACACAUGCAAGUCGAGCGCCCCGCAAGGGGAGCGGCAGACGGGUGAGUAACGCGUGGGAACGUACCUUUUGGUUCGGAACAACUCCGGGAAACUGGAGCUAAUACCGGAUAAGCCCUAACGGGGAAAGAUUUAUCGCCGAAAGAUCGGCCCGCGUCUGAUUAGCUAGUUGGUGAGGUAACGGCUCACCAAGGCGACGAUCCGUAGCUGGUCUGAGAGGAUGGUCAGCCAAACUGGGACUGAGACACGGCCCAGCCCCCCACGGGGGGCCGAGGUGGGAAAUAUUGGACAAGGGGCGAAACCCAAACCCACCCUUCCCGGGUGAGGUAUGAGGGCCUUAGGGUUUAAAAGCCUUUUUGUCCGGGAAAAUAAUGCUUGUACCGAAAAAAAAACCCCCGCCAACCUUCU
rnacentral:rRNA from 1 species